CCUCCUCCUAAAAAUGGGGUAGUUUGGGAAUUUUUCUGAAACUUGGGGUAUUUUGGGAUUUUUUUUGAAACACUGGGUUAUCUCGGUAAAAAAAAACCCAAUUUCUCUCGAUCUUAGCAAUGGCUCAAAAAUCCGAUAGCGCAUAGGGUACUCUCGUCACACCGUCACACAUCGCUCUCUGUUUCUCUUUGUUUCCUUUCAUGAACUGAACUUCUCUUUGCUUCUUUUUCGUACACUUUUAAUUUUAGCGAUCGUGUUGAACUUCGUGAAUGAGCAAAAUAGGCCAGUGAAUACGCAAAAACGUAGGGGAUGCAUUGCAAAAGUUCAACCUGAAGAAGGCCGCGAUACAGAAAGCUUUGGACAAUCGUGCUGAUGGAGGGAAAAUUUCAUUCUAGGAGUAUGGUAAGCAAAAGAUAUAUGUUGUUCGACAAGAUCAAUUUGAAAUUCCCAGUAACAAAAAGCUCACUCAAAUGAAGGAACAAAAUGCCAAUCUGUAAAAGAAACUUGAAGAUUAGAAGAAAGCUAUUAGUAAGGUCGAAGCAGAUACGAUUUCAGUUAUAGUAGUUAUUGUAUGAUUGCAUAUCAUUUUGUUUUAUCAGAUUUCAUUUGACUCUAUUAACUAUGAAAAAACAAUCUAGUAGGAAAUUUGUUCAAGGUACCGGCUAUUGUUGAAACUGAUGAUUCUUGUGAUUUAUGUAUGUAACUUGUUGGUGUAGAAAUUAAAUCGUUGGAAUCAAAUUUAACACUGGAACAUAUUUGUGAAAAAGAAGUGGACCUGAGAAUGGAGGUUCAAUAAUUGAAGACUAAGUUGAACAAGUUACAUGGAUGUGUUACUUUGGUGAAGCCAUAAGAACGUGAUUUAGUUGAGAAAAUGUUGGCAGAGAAAAUAAGUCAGUGGAGGAAGCGCAAAAGAAUGUUCAGGAAUUUAUGGGACACCCUCACUGAGAACUCACCUAAGGAUCCCAAAGAAUUUAAGGAGGAGCUUGGAAUAGAAUGUGAUGAAGAUGUUGAAGUUAGUUUGCAGUCAUAGAAUGACCUGAUCCCUCAAGGUUUUGUCUUGUUGUUAAUCAGUAAAUUUCGACUAGAGCAAAAGAAGGAGUAAGAGUGAGAGUUUUGACAGGCAAGAUGGGCCAAACGACAUAGGCCAGGUUGAAAGGAUGUUGAAGGGGAAUGAGGCAGUCGAAGUUGAAGCCAAACAAGCAAAAAAGAGAUAAUCAGUUGAGAAAAAUGUGGGGGAAGUUUCAAAAGACGUGGGGCUGCAGGUUUAGACGCGUGGCAUAUUGUAGAUGGUCGUCGACAAUGUAGCAGUUAUUUCUCAUUACUAUUUAAGUAGAUUUGAUUUCAAGUUUUAAGGGUCGCAUUUGUAACAUUGUAGAGGUAAAACACUCAAAGUAUCGAGCGUUUAGAGAAAAGAGUUCAUUCCUACAAAAAUGUAUGCUUGCGUUCACAUUUUAAGCACUUUAAAUGACCAAGUCUUUUUAUUUGCUUUGUCAUUUACGGUUUA